UACGAAGGGGGCUAGCGUUGCUCGGAAUCACUGGGCGUAAAGGGUGCGUAGGCGGGUUUUUAAGUCAGAGGUGAAAUCCUGGAGCUCAACUCCAGAACUGCCUUUGAUACUGAGAAUCUUGAGUAUGGGAGAGGUGAGUGGAACUGCGAGUGUAGAGGUGAAAUUCGUAGAUAUUCGCAAGAACACCAGUGGCGAAGGCGGCUGACUGGUCCGGUUCUGACGCUGAGGCGCGAAAGCGUGGGGAGCAAACAGG
rnacentral:rRNA from 1 species